UUUUCGAUGACAGCAAAUUUGAUUAAGAGGAAAAUCGAAGCUGGAGUUUACUGCAGGAUAAUCGAAACAAGAGUUGGAUUGUUGGAGAUAGGUGUUUACUGGCUUCUUCAGCAGCCAUGGCGAUAGGAAUGUUUUUAAAUAGCAAGAAAAGGUUUGGAUGCGGCUGCACAUGAUCAACAAAGCAUGAAGGGACUGACAUUUGGAUUGUGAUUUAUCUUGCAACUGGAAAAUUCGAAAUUGGGUUGCUGUGGAGUCAGUUAUUCAGCAUCCGGUCCCACAGGGCCAUGUGAAGCGGAGAGUGUCAUCAGGUGGGAAAUAUGUCUCAGUGAACCUUGGACCUGUUCGAGUCGUUUCUAGGGAACAGGUUAUUUUCUUAUCUGUCCAUUUGUUUAACAAGUCAAACGGGUCGAAAGUCAGAGAAAGUAUAAUUAUAAAGCAUACAUCCUACUAAGCUGUUAAACGGGUCCUGUGCACGGGUGGGCGGGUUGAACCCGAACAGGACACAAAACCAAAAAAGUGCGGCACAUGACCCCGAACAGACGUACACGACAAAUCUAUUC